rnacentral:lncRNA from 1 species
UCACAUUAGAUAGUAAAGCCUGAGCUGCAGGAGGAGAGCCUGCAGGCCUCGUGGGUAGAAUUGCACCUUCACAACAAUGGGAAUGUGAGUGGAGUUUCAGCCCCAAUUUUUAUUUAUAAUGGUGACAUAAAAAAAAUACUGCUGAAUUUCCAGCAUGAGUCCAGAUAGAGAUAGCUCCAGAAAUUCUCACUGUGACAGCCCAGCUCAUUCAGACACCAUGGGAAACUAACAGCACUUCUGAAACAGACACCCAAAGCACUGGAGAGAAAACCAGAUCUCUAUCUGAGCAAGAUUAUUUUGAGAGAAGUUAAAAAGAUCUUAUGAAAAAGCUCAGAUUAGAUAUAAGAUUGAUCAAGUCAGCCAGAAAAUAGUCCCCUAAAAGCAAUUUCUCUCUAACCACCCAAAGUGCACAGCUACUCUCAGCAUGAGAAACAUGAGCAUUACGAAGAAAGGGGGCAGAUUUUCACAAGAAUUUUAUAGUUUUUUUUUUUCCAUCUCUGCUGCUGUCUCAUUUUCUAGCCACUGAAUGGGGGUUCUACAUUGAAAUAUACCUGAAAACUUCCAACAACACUUUCUG